CACCUGGUUGAUCCUGCCAGUAGUCAUAUGCUUGUCUCAAAGAUUAAGCCAUGCAUGUCUAAGUAUAAGCUUUAAACGGCGAAACUGCGAAUGGCUCAUUAAAACAGUUAUAGUUUAUUUGGUGAUCGAUUACUAUUUGGAUAACCGUAGUAAUUCUAGAGCUAAUACAUGCGUCAAGGCCCGACUUCGGAAGGGCUGCGUUUAUUAGAUACAGAACCAACCUAGGCUCCGCCUAGUCCUUGUUGGUGAUUCAUAAUAACCCGGCGAAUCGCACGGCUUGUCCGGCGAUGGACCAUUCAAGUUUCUGACCUAUCAGCUAUGGACGGUAGGGUAUUGGCCUACCGUGGCGUUGACGGGUAACGGGGAAUUAGGGUUCGAUUCCGGAGAGGGAGCCUGAGAAACGGCUACCACAUCUAAGGAAGGCAGCAGGCGCGCAAAUUACCCAAUCCUGAUACAGGGAGGUAGUGACAAGAAAUAACAAUACAGGGCAAUUCUGUCUUGUAAUUGGAAUGAGUAGAUUUUAAAUCUCUUUACGAGUAUCAAUUGGAGGGCAAGUCUGGUGCCAGCAGCCGCGGUAAUUCCAGCUCCAAUAGCGUAUAUUAAAGUUGUUGCGGUUAAAAAGCUCGUAGUUGGAUUUCUGCCUUGGGCGACCGAUCCACCUUUCCUACGGGAUUGGUUGGUAUCAGGUUUGACCUUGGCUUUUUCUUGGGAUUCGUGCUCACGUACUUAACUGUGCGUUGACCGUGUUCCAAGACUUUUACUUUGAGGAAAUUAGAGUGUUUCAAGCAGGCUUAUGCCAUGAAUACA
rnacentral:ncRNA from 1 species